rnacentral:piRNA from 1 species
UGAGUAAAAGGGAACAGUAAUAUCUUCUA